rnacentral:lncRNA from 1 species
AAGCUUUGCACAGUGCUUUUUGUGGCAGGCUGGUAGAGGAGAGAGAUUUGUUUUCCCUUUCAGAACUAAAGCAUGUCACUGCCAAGGACACAGUCUUGAAGCCAACCGGAAUCACUCCCUCGGUCAGAUAAUCUCCAGGACAAUGGCUUAAUAUUAUAUACUCUCUGUUUUGGUCCAAUAAGACACAUAGUCAAGGGGAAUGCCCCUGCAUUCCCGUAUAAGUGAAAACUAAUAGACACAGCCCCCCCGAUGAGGGAGGCUCUCUGGGGGCCCUCUCCCCAGACACUCUCCCGUGGGACACUCUCCCGUGGGACACUCUCCCGUGGGACACCAUCCCGUAAGCGGCGAGGGCCUGGAUGUGUGGGUGCUGGCUGGAGGCGGGGACGACUGCACAGGGGACUCAGGAGAGAAGCACCAGCAGCUGCGGAGACAAGUCUACAGACCAACCAGAAAAGUUGAAGAAGAUUUAAAAUGAGGAGCCGGAAGUAUGUCUUCAGCCUUCUGGUGAAGGAGAACCGUGAGUCUCUCUUGACUGCACUGUUGAUUUAAUGUUGUUUGUGUGGCUAUGUGGUCCACGGUGCCCACAGUGGGCAGGUGGAGGCCUCUUGCUCAUCAGCUUGUUCAUGCAGAAAUAGCUUGUGAGAGCAAUAACUAUCCCAUGCAAAUCCGGAGUAAGAAAGGUAGGGGAAAAUUCUAGAAUAUUUGCAGGAAGUUAAGUAAUGACAUAAAGAAGUCCUUACUUAAGAAAUACUUCACAUUAUAAUCAGCACUUACAGAAUGAACUAGUGGUGGGCAGGGGAAGCACGUAUUAUUUAUUUACUCUACAAGACGAUUUCCUCACUUUACAAAAAGCCAGAUAUUUCUUCUAGGAAGUCAGCAUUCAUGGGUACUAAAUGUAAAGUUGAUGCAUGUAAUAAAGCUAAUUAUACAACUUUUGACUAACAAACCUACUGUUUAAUAAGCAUAAUAAACAUAGCCGUGCUCUGCCGUGUUAUAGAUAAAGUGUUUUGUUUUAUGUUUUAAUAAACACACAUUUUGGGGAUAAAUUUCCAUGUGUUGUACAGCAGAAACUAACAUUUGCCGACAAAGUUCUGUAUAGUCAAAGCUAUGUUUUUUCCACUAGUCAUGUAUGGGUGUGAGAGCUGGACCAUAAAGAAAAGCUGAGCUUUGAAGAAUGGAUGCUUUUGAAUUGUGGUGCUGGAGAAGACUCUUGAGAGUCAGUUGGACAGCAAAGAGAUGAACCAGUCAGUCCUAAAGGAAAUCAAGUCAAUAUUCAUUGGAAGGACUGAUGCUGAUGCUGAAGCUGAAGCUCCAAUACUUUGACCACCUGAUGCGAAGAGUUGACUCAUUGGAAAAGACCCUGAUGCUGGGAAAGACUGAGGGCAGGAGGAGAAGGGGCAACAGAGGAUAAGAUGGUUGGAUGGCAUCACUGACUCAGUGGACAUGAGUUUGAGCAAACUUCGGGAGAUAGUGGAAGACAGCGAAGCCUAGCGUGCUGCAGUUCAUGCGGUCACAAAGAGUGGGACACGACUUAGCGACUGAACAAAAAAAAAACAACAACAAAGCAAUCAUACUCCAAUAAAAAUUAAUUUAAAAAGAAAAUAAAGUUAGGUCAAAAAAAUUCUGUAAGAUAAUGUGUUUCUCAAGGUCCAAUGUAACGUGUGUGCCUACUGUGAAUUGGAUAGAAAAGUGAAAUCCAUUUUCUGUGAUGAAAGGUCUGUAAUACUAACAUUUACCACAAGGGGGCAGCGCACCACAGGGUAGAGAACAGCAAAACCCGCGAUUGGGAAUGCACAGCCCUGGGCAAGACUGCCUCCUUCCCGGGACCGCGGGUUGGGGGACAAUUCAUUUACAGUUGUGAAGAGGCAGAUCUGAUGGUGCCUUGGCACAACCGAAAGCCCUAAGUAUUUGCCAGAAACCUCUUAGCUGUUCUCCUGCAGAAAAAGGAUGAAAUCGUUUUGUGUGGUGAACUUAAACAUUGACAGAAACAAUGUUUCCUAUAUAAAUACAAAAUUUGCCCACCGACAUCAUCAACAAAUGCGAUUUUAAGCAGGUACAAUACACACUGACUUAUAAACACACUGUUUCCCCUUCAAGUUUCUUUUGUGAGCUUAUACAGCUUAUGCUCUCUCACUCAGCUGUCACGCAGUCGUGUCUGACUCUUUGUGACCCUCUGGACUGUAGCCCGCCGGGCUCUUCCGUUCAGGGGACUUUUCAGGCAAGAGUACUGGAGUGGGGUGCUAUUUCCUCCUCCAGGGGAUCUUCCCGACCCAGGGAUUGAACACGUGUCUCCUGCAUUCCAGGUGGUUUCUUUACCGCUGAGCCACCAGGGAAAUGCAUGAAGUAAAAUAAUUCAUUCGUGUUCUACUGAUCAUGUCUUUGGACUGGCUCUGGAUGGAAAUAGUGCUUAGGAUUUAUAGUAAAUUAUCAUUGAGUAAGGGCUUCCCUGCUGGAUCAGACAGUAAAGAAUCUGCCUGCAAUUACUGAGUAAAAAUAAGUUCCCAAGAAAUUUAGGAUAGAAAAUUAGAGGUGUUUUUGUUUUAUUUUAGGGAAAAUUUUCCUUUGAUAUUUUUGUAAUGGACUAGAUUUCCACGGAAUGUAUUGAAAUAUUAUGAGUGAUUAAACAUGUCAGGAAACCAAGUGAUUCUACUAUGUCUUGUCCAUACCAGCUGAAGGACAAAUCAAUGGUCCUAUUGGUUCCAGGUCCCAGAUCUGGCCGAAAGCGGCACAUGAAUUGAUCACUCCAUAGUUUUCAUCUCAUGGGAAAACUUAGCCAGGGGGAGUUUACGCUUGACUAUGUGUCAGAUCCACGUAUGUCUUCUGAUACUCAUUUCCCUGUUGUCCUUUGUACCAAAGCUGCCAGCUGUCAGCUGAGUGUAUCCCUGCACAGAAUAAAGUGUAUGUUGCUCAGACCUACUUUUAGGUAUGACCAAACUGUGGCCUAUAAAGAUCCCCUUUCAAUGGAAUGAAAGCAAAAGUGGUGUUCUUUUAAGUGGCACAGGGCAUUACUUUCCUGAUGGCUAAAAUGUGGAUGUGAUGAUUGGAGCUGGAGCAGCCACACUGGGUGUUGUGGAGAAAGAC